rnacentral:ncRNA from 1 species
AAAAAAUCGGAGAUGUCUGACGCAUCGUGAAAAAGAAAAAGAAAGUGUCAUCGAUGAAAGGAAAAAAAAAAAGGCCAAUUUUGUAAAGACGGUUAUAGUCAGAGCCCCCGGGGGAAGGAGUUACUUUGAAAAAAUUGCUCAAAGCAAGCCUAUGCUCUGAAUACAUUAGCAUGGAAUAACGUGAUAGGACUCUGGUCCUGUUCAUGUUGGUCUUCUGGACCGGAGGAAUGAUUAAUAGGGACGGUUGGGGGCAUUCGUAUUUCAUUGUCAGAGGUGAAUUUCUUGGAUUUAUGAAAGACGAACUUUUGCGAAAGCAUUUGCCAAGGAUGUUUUCAUUAAUCAAGAACGAAAGUUGGGGUUUCAAAGAUGAUCAGAUACCGUCCUAGUCUCAACCAUAAACGAUGCCGACUAGGGAUUGGCGGAUGUUACUUUGAUGACUCCAUCAACACCUUAUGAGAAAUCAAAGUUUUUGGGUU